rnacentral:rRNA from 1 species
UGGGGAAUAUUGCACAAUGGGCGCAAGCCUGAUGCAGCCAUGCCGCGUGUAUGAAGAAGGCCUUCGGGUUGUAAUGUACUUUCAGCGGGGAGGAAGGGAGUAAAGUUAAUACCUUUGCUCAUUGACGUUACCCGCAGAAGAAGCACCGGCUAACUCCGUGCCAGCAGCCGCGGUAAUACGUAGGGUGCAAGCGUUAAUCGGAAUUACUGGGCGUAAAGCGCACGCAGGCGGUUUGUUAAGUCAGAUGUGAAAUCCCCGGGCUCAACCUGGGAACUGCAUCUGAUACUGGCAAGCUUGAGUCUCGUAGAGGGGGGUAGAAUUCCAGGUGUAGCGGUGAAAUGCGUAGAGAUCUGGAGGAAUACCGGUGGCGAAGGCGGCCCCCUGGACGAAGACUGACGCUCAGGUGCGAAAGCGUGGGGAGCAAACAGG